rnacentral:rRNA from 1 species
CAGUAGCCGCGGGAAUACGUAGGUCCCGAGCGUUGUCCGGAUUUAUUGGGCGUAAAGCGAGCGCAGGCGGUUAGAUAAGUCUGAAGUUAAAGGCUGUGGCUUAACCAUAGUACGCUUUGGAAACUGUUUAACUUGAGUGCAAGAGGGGAGAGUGGAAUUCCAUGUGUAGCGGUGAAAUGCGUAGAUAUAUGGAGGAACACCGGUGGCGAAAGCGGCUCUCUGGCUUGUAACUGACGCUGAGGCUCGAAAGCGUGGGGAGCAAACAGGAUUAGAUACCCCCGUAGUCCCUGUCUCUUAUACC